rnacentral:sRNA from 1 species
GAGCUAGACAGAAGAGACACCAGGUGAAAGAAGUUGCUGUGGAUAUUCCUGAUAUACUCAAAUUAAAAACUACAACAACAGGAGGGCUAAUUCCUACCAUACCUAAAAGCUCUACUGUAAAUAUAAAAAAUUAUCGCCCAGGAUAUAACUGGAAUAAUGGAGGUCGAGUUAAAGAACUUCGUAUAAGAUACCUUGCCAGAAAAUUUCUUUUACUAUGGUGUCAUUAUGUAUUUGGCCGUGUAAGACUGUCAGUAGCAAGAAACCAUUACAAGAAGAGACUUUUACAGAGUGCUUUUACAGAAUGGUAUAGCCAUUGGUGGACUAUUGUUAAAGAAUGGAGGCUUGGAAUCAGAGCGGAUUGUCA